rnacentral:rRNA from 1 species
UAUAGCUCAGUAACACGUGGCCAAACUACCCUACAGACCGCGAUAACCUCGGGAAACUGAGGCCAAUAGCGGAUAUUACUCUCAGGCUGGAGUGCCGAGAGUGAGAAACGUUCCGGCGCUGUAGGAUGUGGCUGCGGCCGAUUAGGUAGAUGGUGGGGUAACGGCCCACCAUGCCGAUAAUCGGUACAGGUUGUGAGAGCAAGAGCCUGGAGACGGUAUCUGAGACAAGAUACCGGGCCCUACGGGGCGCAGCAGGCGCGAAACCUUUACACUGCACGACAGUGCGAUAGGGGGACUCCGAGUGUGAGGGCAUAUAGCCCUCGCUUUUCUGUACCGUAAGGUGGUACAGGAACAAGGACUGGGCAAGACCGGUGCCAGCCGCCGCGGUAAUACCGGCAGUCCAAGUGAUGGCCGAUAUUAUUGGGCCUAAAGCGUCCGUAGCUUGCUGUGUAAGUCCAUUGGGAAAUCGACCAGCUCAACUGGUCGGCGUCCGGUGGAAACUACACAGCUUGGGGCCGAGAGACUCAACGGGUACGUCCGGGGUAGGAGUGAAAUCCUGUAAUCCUGGACGGACCACCAAUGGGGAAACCACGUUGAGAGACCGGACCCGACAGUGAGGGACGAAAGCCAGGGUCUCGAACCGGAUUAGAUACCCGGGUAGUCCUGGCUGUAAACAAUGCUC